CGGACCGGCGCACGGGUGAGUAACGCGUAUGCAACCUGCCUGAUACCGGGGUAUAGCCCAUGGAAACGUGGAUUAACACCCCAUAGUACUUUUAUCCUGCAUGGGAUGUGAGUUAAAUGUUCAAGGUAUCGGAUGGGCAUGCGUCCCAUUAGUUAGUUGGCGGGGUAACAGCCCACCAAGACGAUGAUAGGUAGGGGUUCUGAGAGGAAGGUCCCCCACAUUGGUACUGAGACACGGACCAA
rnacentral:rRNA from 1 species